UACGGAGGAUCCAAGCGUUAUCCGGAUUUAUUGGGUUUAAAGGGUGCGUAGGCGGCUUAUUAAGUCAGGGGUGAAAGACGGUGGCUCAACCAUCGCAGUGCCCUUGAUACUGAUGAGCUUGAAUACACUAGAGGUAGGCGGAAUGUGACAAGUAGCGGUGAAAUGCAUAGAUAUGUCACAGAACACCGAUUGCGAAGGCAGCUUACUAUGGUGUCAUUGACGCUGAGGCACGAAAGCGUGGGGAUCAAACAGG
rnacentral:rRNA from 1 species